UUAAUCAUGGCUUAAUUACCUUUUAAUUAACACGUUGUCAUGUCAUAUCAAGACCAAAGAGAAACAGUUCCAGGUGGUGCCUCAGAGGGAAUGGUCAGAUGGGCAGUAAUGCUGCCAUGGGUGGUGCAGACAGACGGGGGUGGGGGGACGACUGGAGCACUAUCACGGUCUGCAUUCCCAGCUGGGACAGUGCAUCCGAGGGAACCAGCAGUCCCAACCUGCUGAACAGCCAGGCCAGGGGCCCAGCCUGGGCGAGGACGGCAGCGGGGCCAGGUAGCAUGCGGCUCCCAGCAGUGGAAGUGUUUUGACAUCUGAGGGCCAGGCGCACUGUGUAGAAGUGGCCAUGUGUUCCGUAGGAAUUCAGAAGAUCCCUGACAGUGCCAGCCUUUCCAGGAGGCCCCUGAGGCAUCUCUCACCAGGCAGCUGCCAUUGCUUCCUCCAGAAGGAACUCCCUGGCUGCAUGUGGGGGGCACCUGGGCUUCCAUACGGGAUGUUUCGUUAGCAAGCAUGGAGAGAGUGCGAAGCCCUCGGACAAGACAGUCCUUUCCUGGUGAGAAAUUGCUCUUGGUGGCCUGAGUCAUGGAGAUUUAGCCCUCUGGAUGGUACGAAGGACCCAAAACUUUGGAAGGAAAGAAAUGACACUUCUAGAGCACGCUCCUCUUAAAUUUUCCACAACAGCAGAAUGGUGCUGCAUAAUAUUUUUACAAAGUUCUGCUGCUUUCAUUUAUAUUGAUGAAGUGAGCAUUGAGCUGAAAUGGAAUAUGAUUAAAUGUCUGGAGGAAGAAUGGCAACGGGCCUGUUUUGGCUUGAGUGCAUCCACCAGAAAGCCUGUGUCAGAAACUUGAUCUCCAAUGCAGCAGAGAUGGAAACUAAAAAUGGACCCAUUUAGGAAAAUGAUAAACCUACUCCAAGAGCAGUUAACCAAGGACUUAUUUACAUAGGCUCACAUGAACUGAGCCUUUCCUAACUCCCAGCUCCUAGCUUCCUAAGUUCUAGGGAGUCCUUCAUCUCUAAGGCAGGAAAAACGAAGCAGUUCCCAGCUCGCCCUCAACCCUGUACCUUGAGGCAGCAGGGCAACUCCCAAAUCCCCACAGGAGCCAUACUGCGGAAAGUCUGCAAGAUGGAGGCGCUGGUUUUGAAUCUCCCAGAUGCAGACGAUUAUGUACAACUGGUGAUUCACUCUGCGUUAUCCCGACAGGAGAAACUGCCUUGGCUGCUCCCCACCUCACAGCCUGGUGAAGUGGGAGAGGCGAUUUUCCAAACGCUGUCUUUAGGAAAGUGUCCAUUUAUUUCCUGAAUUUUAAGCAGCUCUCUUGGAGAUUAUCUGAUUCAGUUUUGAUUCUUUCUCUUGAUCAUGAGAUGCCUUAAACAUCCUCAUUACUAUUAGAUAAUUCAUACUGCAAGGCAGGAAGCAUACCAAUCUAGUCUACUAUUAAAUCCUAAACAUCAGACAUGUACAAGAUGCUCAGGAUUGCAGAGAUCUUCAAUGUUUAAAACAGUUCCUGCUCUGACUAAACAAGGGGUGCAUACUAGCCAGUCAAACCAGGGACUCUAGGACAGGGCGCAGGACUGUGUUCAUCCCCUGAGUUCUGGCCGUCUGUGCCGGAUCUUCUGAGUCCCUGAGCGAGCCCAUCCCACAGCUUGCAUUGCGACACUCGUUCUGUUCACACCCGGAAUACGCUAUCACAGGCAUCAGAGGCAAUUAAAAUCAAGAUGAGGACAGCAUUCUCUUCAUCAUGAAAGACUGCCUGAUGAGACACCAAGGAGAGUUUAUGAAAUCCACUGCAAUAACGAUGCUUUGAGCUUCCUUUCAUCUGAGGAUUUCAAAGUGCUUCUUUAAUUUAAUCACAUUUUCAUGAGACUUCUUAGUACAGAUGGAGAAUUAGACCUUUGCACCUGGCUAAUCCACAGGCACCUCACUCUCAACAGACUCCAGACAAAAGUCACUAUAAUUUCCCUAAACCUUCUCCUUGACUCUGGAUUCCCCUUCCUGUCGUUCACCAUGUUCACCUGGACCCCAAGCCCGAAAGCCAGAUGUCAUUCUAGACCUCCAGCUCCCGUCCCCCCUCACCGCCUCCCCUCCCCCGUGUCUCUGUCUGUUUUACUAAAGGCAGACCUGAUCAUGGUGAUGGCUGCUUGAAACCUUUUGCAAGUUCUCCAGCCCCUGUGAGUAAAUUCAUACACCUUGUCACGUUACCCAGGCAUAUUUCCCGGAUGAAGGCUGUGAUCCAGUGAGGACUGUGAUCCAGUGGUCACUGUAGCCCCACUUCACCACUGAUACCCUUCCAGAUUGGAGGGACUUCGGUUUCUGAAGCUGCUGGGGUGUAACUUGUACUACGGUGACAUAGAAGUUACUGAUACAACAUGGGGGAUGUAUUUACAGAAUUUAUUGUGCACCUUUGGGAAUCCCAUACAAUUUCCCCUUGGCCUCUCAGCAUUAUUUUCCUUAGGUUUUAUAAACCCCAGAUCAGACACCACGACAAUGGGUUCAUUUGACGGAGACAUUGCAGAACUUUGCUCACAUGCAUACUGAAUGCGGAUGAUCAUGAUCAUGAUGAAGAAUAGCAGCGCACCUUAUUGAAGUGCUUCUCUCCCACAUGAACGGUUAUUUUAUUUGCUGAUCUCAUUAUAAUACCAAGUUCCCUGUUAGGCUCUACUUGUUAAAGGAGAAGAGAAGAAAAAAAUUGCUUCUUACUCCUUGUCAUUUUAACAAGAAGAUAGAGUUCCAGGCUUCUUGCCCUUAAACAACCAAAAAUUACACGAGCCUCUUCCUUCAAAUGUCAGAAUGGCAUUUAGCCUGACAGCUUUCUCAUUAUUAUGCACUGAGAGUUUCUCCAACCAAACCUGUCAAGCAUCUCUAACUGGCAGGCGCCUUAUAAACUUGGAGUCCAUGUC